rnacentral:miRNA from 1 species
GUUUGAUCCUUUACGUUUAU